rnacentral:pre_miRNA from 15 species
GGGCCCUGCCUCCAGUCGGCCGCCGCCCCCUGUAACAGCAACUCCAUGUGGAAGUGCCCGCUGGUUCCAGUGGGGCUGCUGUUAUCCGGGGCGGGGGCCAGGCCCCGCGGAGGAGGAG